rnacentral:rRNA from 1 species
UACGUAGGGGGCAAGCGUUGUCCGGAUUUAUUGGGCGUAAAGCGCGUGUAGGCGGCCGGAUAGGUCUGCUGUGAAAACUCGAGGCUCAACUUCGAGAUGUCGGCGGAAACCAUUCGGCUAGAGUCCGGAAGAGGAGAGUGGAAUUCCCGGUGUAGCGGUGAAAUGCGCAGAUAUCGGGAAGAACACCCGUGGCGAAGGCGGCUCUCUGGGACGGUACUGACGCUGAGACGCGAAAGCGUGGGGAG